AUGGAGGAGGACGCCGCCAUGGAGAAGGCAAAGGAGGAGGAGGAGGAGGAGGCGAAGGAGGCAGAGUUGACGCCUGUGGGCUUCGGCAUGCCUGAGGCGCUGUCGGAGUACGAGGUGGCGCAAGCGGAGGAGGCGACAGAGCAGCAAGCCAUCAUCGAAUCCAUCCAAUCGGAGGCGGAGGUGGAGGUCACUCGACGCUACCUCCGCCAGGAGGACGUGGAGAUCUACGAGAUCUUCGCUGACACGCAGUCCGACGAGGAGCUGGUGGUGCGCCCGGCCGUCAAUAACCACGAAGCCGGCGGCUCUGGCAUGAACUUCAUCAACAUCUCCGACGACGAGGACGUGUAG
rnacentral:rRNA from 1 species